UACGUAGGGGGCAAGCGUUGUCCGGAUUUAUUGGGCGUAAAGAGCGUGUAGGCGGCUUGGUAGGUCCGCUGUGAAAACUCGAGGCUCAACCUCGAGAUGUCGGCGGAAACCACUUGGCUAGAGUCCGGAAGAGGAGAGUGGAAUUCCCGGUGUAGCGGUGAAAUGCGCAGAUAUCGGGAAGAACACCUAUGGCGAAGGCAGCUCUCUGGGACGGUACUGACGCUGAGACGCGAAAGCGUGGGGAGCGAACAGG
rnacentral:rRNA from 2 species